rnacentral:rRNA from 1 species
AAUGAACGCUGGCGGCAGGCCUAACACAUGCAAGUCGAACGAAGCCUUCGGGCUUAGUGGCGGACGGGUGAGUAACGCGUGGGAACGUGCCCUUUGCUUCGGAAUAGCCUCGGGAAACUGGGAGUAAUACCGAAUGUGCCCUACGGGGGAAAGAUUUAUCGGCAAAGGAUCGGCCCGCGUUGGAUUAGGUAGUUGGUGGGGUAAUGGCCUACCAAGCCUACGAUCCAUAGCUGGUUUUAGGGGAUGAUCAGCCACACUGGGACUGAGACACGGCCCAGACUCCUACGGGAGGCAGCAGUGGGGAAUCUUAGACAAUGGGCGCAAGCCUGAUCUAGCCAUGCCGCGUGAUCGAUGAAGGCCUUAGGGUUGUAAAGAUCUUUCAGCUGGGAAGAUAAUGACUGUACCAGCAGAAGAAGCCCCGGCUAACUCCGUGCCAGCAGCCGCAGUAACAC